rnacentral:lncRNA from 11 species
CCUUUAAAUACAUAAAUAUAUUAAAAUGUACUAUUUUGUAUUUAUGGUUUCAGGAACUCCUAAUUUUCAUCACAAGCCUGAGCAAAUCUGGACAGAAUUCAGGAUACUCAAGAUAUGCACAGUGAAGUUGCUUUUGUUUACCUUGCCUGAUGUAGGUGGACACACACAGAAAUGAUAACACUGGCUAAAAAUGGCUGAAGCAUUUUCUGCAGAGUUCCCUGUAAACACCUCACAACAGAUUUGUGUAAAUAGCUAAACCAGCAACUAGGUGACAUUCAUAAACCUUUUAUUUUGUAAUGGAUAUUAUUUACUGUAUUGUUUAUUGUAUUGUGUUGUGCUGUUCUUUUAUAUGCUGUUUACAUUGUAUUGUUUUGGGCAUGGCCCCAUGUAAGCCGCCCUGAGUCCCCAUUGGGGAGAUGGUGGCGGGGUAUAAAUAAAGUUUUUUUUUUAUUAUUAUUAUUAUUAUUAUUA